UACGUAGGGGGCAAGCGUUGUCCGGAUUUAUUGGGCGUAAAGAGCUCGUAGGCGGUUCGAUAAGUCGGAUGUGAAAUCUCCACGCUCAACGUGGAGGGGCCAUUCGAUACUGCCGUGACUCGAGUCCGGUAGGGGAGUGUGGAAUUCCCGGUGUAGCGGUGAAAUGCGCAGAGAUCGGGAGGAACACCCGUAGCGAAGGCGGCACUCUGGGCCGGUACUGACGCUGAGGAGCGAAAGCGUGGGGAGCAAACAGG
rnacentral:rRNA from 1 species